GAUGGUGCUUGCACUAUCACUUAGCGGCGGACGGGUGAGUAAUGCUUAGGAAUCUGCCUAUUAGUGGGGGACAACAUCUCGAAAGGGAUGCUAAUACCGCAUACGUCCUACGGGAGAAAGCAGGGGAUCACUUGUGACCUUGCGCUAAUAGAUGAGCCUAAGUCGGAUUAGCUAGUUGGUGGGGUAAAGGCCUACCAAGGCGACGAUCUGUAGCGGGUCUGAGAGGAUGAUCCGCCACACUGGGACUGAGACACGGCCCAGACUCCUACGGGAGGCAGCAGUGGGGAAUAUUGGACAAUGGGGGGAACCCUGAUCCAGCCAUGCCGCGUGUGUGGAGAAGGCCUUAUGGUUGUAAAGCACUUUAAGCGAGGAGGAGGCUCUUUUGGUUAAUACCCAAGAUGAGUGGACGUUACUCGCAGAAUAAGCACCGGCUAACUCUGUGCCAGCAGCCGCGGUAAUACAGAGGGUGCAAGCGUUAAUCGGAUUUACUGGGCGUAAAGCGCGCGUAGGCGGCCAAUUAAGUCAAAUGUGAAAUCCCCGAGCUUAACUUGGGAAUUGCAUUCGAUACUGGUUGGCUAGAGUGUGGGAGAGGAUGGUAGAAUUCCAGGUGUAGCGGUGAAAUGCGUAGAGAUCUGGAGGAAUACCGAUGGCGAAGGCAGCCAUCUGGCCUAACACUGACGCUGAGGUGCGAAAGCAUGGGGAGCAAACAGGAUUAGAUACCCUGGUAGUCCAUGCCGUAAACGAUGUCUACUAGCCGUUGGGGCCUUUGAGGCUUUAGUGGCGCAGCUAACGCGAUAAGUAGACCGCCUGGGGAGUACGGUCGCAAGACUAAAACUCAAAUGAAUUGACGGGGGCCCGCACAAGCGGUGGAGCAUGUGGUUUAAUUCGAUGCAACGCGAAGAAUCUUACCUGUCUUGACAUAGU
rnacentral:rRNA from 1 species